UACGUAGGGUGCAAGCGUUGUCCGGAAUUAUUGGGCGUAAAGAGCUCGUAGGUGGCGGGUCACGUCGGGUGUGAAAGCCCGGGGCUUAACCCCGGGUCUGCAUUCGAUACGGGUCUGCUGGGGUCCGGCAGGGGAGACUGGAAUUCCUGGUGUAGCGGUGAAAAUGCGCAGAUAUCAGGAGGAACACCGGUGGCGAAGGCGGGUCUCUGGGCCGGUACCGACGCUGAGGAGCGAAAGCGUGGGGAGCGAACAGG
rnacentral:rRNA from 1 species